rnacentral:sRNA from 1 species
GUCGCUGCCGUGAUCGUGGU